rnacentral:rRNA from 1 species
UGGGGAAUAUUGGACAAUGGGCGCAAGCCUGAUCCAGCCAUGCCGCGUGAGUGAUGAAGGCCCUAGGGUUGUAAAGCUCUUUUGUGCGGGAAGAUAAUGACGGUACCGCAAGAAUAAGCCCCGGCUAACUUCGUGCCAGCAGCCGCGGUAAUACGAAGGGGGCUAGCGUUGCUCGGAAUCACUGGGCGUAAAGGGUGCGUAGGCGGGUCUUUAAGUCAGGGGUGAAAUCCUGGAGCUCAACUCCAGAACUGCCUUUGAUACUGAGGAUCUUGAGUUCGGGAGAGGUGAGUGGAACUGCGAGUGUAGAGGUGAAAUUCGUAGAUAUUCGCAAGAACACCAGUGGCGAAGGCGGCUCACUGGCCCGAUACUGACGCUGAGGCACGAAAGCGUGGGGAGCAAACAGGAUUAGAUACCCUGGUAGUCCACGCCGUAAACGAUGAACGCCAGCCGUUGGAGGGUUUACUCUCCAGUGGCGCAGCUAACGCUUUAAGCAUUCCGCCUGGGGAGUACGGUCGCAAGAUUA